AGCAUCUGUGAGUCAUGAGUCUGGGCACCACUUAGCUGAGUCCUCUGUUUGGGGUCUAAAGGGCUGCAAUCAAGAUGCUGGCUGGGAUGUGCUCUCACCUGGUGGCUUGACUGGUUUUACUUUCUACAAUUCAGUACCUGCAGUCAACCAUGGUCUGGAAGUAGAUGACCCUCCUGACUAUCUUCAGAAGGUUAAUAGCAGCCUGAUGCUACAUCACAUAUCUACAUCACCCACCUCGCUUCCUCUCAUCAUGUAGGCAUUUUAUCAUCUGACGUCAUCACCAGAAGGAUGAGUGCAGUACAAGAAGAUGUAUUGAGAGAGAGAGAGACCACAUUCACCUGUUAUUAUAGGCUGGAUGGGGAGCAGAAAUGAAGGAAGCUGAUCAAGGAUGUAACAGCUAAAUAUGUUCAUAUGACUACAUUUUGACCAUUGGCUGACAAGUGGAAAUGUGCAUGGUGCCUUGGAAACACUGAUGAAGAAAACUGAUUCAGCUGCUAAGCAUACCUUUUUGUCUUCCCCUGACUCAUUUCUGCACUGCAGUCUGGAAUAUUGAUGUAAUGGUUGGAGCUCCAGCAGCUGCCUUAAACUAUGAGGUAACUCAGAGCCAGAGGAGAAAGAUAGAAACGGCUUGCCUCUGCCUUCCUGAAAACUUGGUGCGACUGCCAUAUUGGGCCAGAGUGUCCACUUCAGGGAUUCUUUUAUGAGAGAAAGAGUGACGUCUGAAGUAUUUAAGCCAGUGUAGUGGGCUUUAAAUACCUAACCAAUAUAAAUUGGAAUCUUGGGGCCCCUGGGUGGCUCAGUCGAUUAAGCAUCUGCCUUAGGCUCAGGUCAUGAUCCCAGAGUCCUGGGAUCGAGCACUGUUGAGUCCCUGCUGAGCAGAAGACUGCUUCUGUCGCUCU